rnacentral:rRNA from 1 species
UACGUAGGGUGCAAGCGUUGUCCGGAAUUAUUGGGCGUAAAGAGCUCGUAGGCGGUCUGUCGCGUCGGCUGUGAAAUCCCGAGGCUCAACCUCGGGUCUGCAGUCGAUACGGGCAAACUUGAGUGUUGCAGGGGAGACUGGAAUUCCUGGUGUAGCGGUGAAAUGCGUAGAUAUCUGGAGGAACACCGGUGGCGAAGGCGGCAUCCUGGACCGACACUGACGCUGAGGAGCGAAAGCCAGGGGAGCAAACGGG